GACGAACGCUGGCGGCGUGCUUAACACAUGCAAGUCGAACGGAAAGGCCCUGCUUUUGUGGGGUGCUCGAGUGGCGAACGGGUGAGUAACACGUGAGUAACCUGCCCUUGACUUUGGGAUAACUUCAGGAAACUGGGGCUAAUACCGGAUAGGAGCUCCUGCUGCAUGGUGGGGGUUGGAUAGUUUCGGCGGUUGGGGAUGGACUCGCGGCUUAUCAGCUUGUUGGUGGGGUAGUGGCUUACCAAGGGUUUGACGGGUAGCCGGCCUGGGAGGGUUACCGGCCACAUGGGGACUGAGAGACGGACCAGACUACUACGGGAGGCAGCAGGGGGGAAUAUUGCACAAUGGGAGGAAGCCUGAUGCAGCAACGCCGCGUGCGGGAUGACGGCCUUCGGGUUGUAAACCGCUUGAGCCUGUGACGAAGAGUGAGUGACGGUAAUGGGUAAAGAAGCACCGGCUAACUACGUG
rnacentral:rRNA from 1 species